UGGUUGAGUACAUACCUAAUCUUUCUGAAAGUCAGUACUAUCCUGAGAUUUCUGAGCUAGUUUUUAUAAUUUGUACUAGUCAGUUAGUUAGUUUCAAGGAUGCGGGCUAGUGGGUUAGAGGUCGAUAUUAUUUAUCUGCAAGAGUAAAAAUUCUAGUUAGAUAUUUAUACUUAAAAUUCAUAUUUGCUCUAGAGACUUUUAGAUGCAAAUAGACUCCCAUUAUGUUUUCAAAUUUUGAUACUCCCC
rnacentral:lncRNA from 1 species